rnacentral:rRNA from 1 species
AGGUGGCUAUAGCGAUGAGGAAACACCCGAACCCAUUCCGAACUCGGCAGUUAAGCUCAUCAGCGCCGAUGGUACUGCAUUUGUGGAAGAGUAGGUCGCUGCCA